GGGGAAUAUUGCGCAAUGGGCGAAAGCCUGACGCAGCCACGCCGCGUGUGUGACGAAGGCCCUCGGGUCGUAAAGCACUGUCGGGAGGAAAGAAGUUCUGACGGUACCUCCCAAGAAAGCACCGGCUAACUCCGUGCCAGCAGCCGCGGUAAUACGGAGGGUGCAAGCGUUGCUCGGAAUCACUGGGCGUAAAGCGUACGCAGGCGGCGCGUUAAGUCGGGUGUGAAAGCCCGGGGCUCAACCCCGGAAUUGCAUUCGAUACUGGCGUGCUGGAGUGCGGGAGAGGGAAGCGGAAUUCCUGGUGUAGAGGUGAAAUUCGUAGAUAUCAGGAGGAACAUCAGUGGCGAAAGCGGCUUCCUGGCCCGAUACUGACGCUCAUGUACGAAAGCGUGGGGAGCAAAC
rnacentral:rRNA from 1 species